rnacentral:rRNA from 1 species
AUUGAACGCUGGCGGAAUGCUUUACACAUGCAAGUCGAGCGGCAGCGCGGGGGCAACCCUGGCGGCGAGCGGCGAACGGGUGAGUAACAUAUCGGAACGUACCCCGUCGUGGGGGAUAACACAGCGAAAGCUGUGCUAAUACCGCAUACGACCUGAGGGUGAAAGCGGGGGAUCGCAAGACCUCGCGCGAUGGGAGCGGCCGAUAUCGGAUUAGCUUGUUGGUGAGGUAAAGGCUCACCAAGGCGACGAUCCGUAGCUGGUCUGAGAGGACGACCAGCCACACUGGAACUGAGACACGGUCCAGACUCCUACGGGAGGCAGCAGUGGGGAAUUUUGGACAAUGGGGGCAACCCUGAUCCAGCCAUUCCGCGUGAGUGAAGAAGGCCUCGGGUUU